CCUACGGGGGGCAGCAGUUAGGAAUCUUGGACAAUGGGCGAAAGCCUGAUCCAGCCAUGCCGCGUGAGUGAUGAAGGCCUUCGGGUUGUAAAACUCUUUCGACGGGGACGCGGUACCCGUAGAAGAAGCUCCGGCUAACUUCGUGCCAGCAGCCGCGGUAAUACGAAGGGGGCUAGCGUUGUUCGGAAUUACUGGGCGUAAAGCGUGCGCAGGCGGCUAUCCAAGUCAGUGGUGAAAGCCCGGAGCUCAACUCCGGAACUGCCAUUGAAACUGUUUAGCUCGAGUACGAGAGAGGUGAGUGGAAUACCCAGUGUAGAGGUGAAAUUCGUAGAUAUUGGGUAGAACACCGGUGGCGAAGGCGGCUCACUGGCUGUACUGACGCUCAUGCACGACAGCGUGGGGAUCAAACAGGAUUAGAUACCCGUGUAGUC
rnacentral:rRNA from 1 species